ACACCAAAAUUUUCUUCUUUUUUUAUUUUGCUUAAUUGAUCAGGUUUUGUAGUACUUUCUCUGUGUUCUUGUUUUUGUUUAAUCUCCCAUCUUCUACUAUUUAAUGAUUGCAAUUAAUUUUCCUUCCUUUUUUCCUUUGAUAUAUUCCAUGCCUGAAUGUAGAGGGUUUUUUGCUAAAUUACUUAA